UAUGUGAUCGUCUCUCGCAUAUCAAUAAGCGGAGGAAAAGAAACUAACAAGGAUUCCCCUAGUAACGGCGAGUGAAGCGGGAAGAGCUCAAAUUUGAAAUCUUAAAGGGUUUCCCUUUACGAAUUGUAGUUUAAAGAAGUGUUUUCUGUUGAGGUUUUGGUAAAAGUUCUUUGGAAUAGGACAUCAUAGAGGGUGAGAAUCCCGUAUUUGACCUUUACUUUCAACUUUGUGAUACACUUUCAAAGAGUCGGAUUGUUUGGGAAUGCAGUCCAAAAUGGGUGGUAAAUUUCAUCUAAAGCUAGAUAUUGGCGAGAGACCGAUAGCGAACAAGUACCGUGAGGGAAAGAUGAAAAGAACUUUGAAAAGAGAGUUAAACAGUACGUGAAAUUGUCAAAAGGGAAGCGUUUGACACCAGUGUUGUUUUUCUGAAAAUCAAUUAAAGAACUGUUUAUGCUAAGCUGUUUAGACUUUAUCAGCUAUCUGUUUAGUUUUGAGCUUUUCUUUAAUGCACUUUUCAGUUAACAAGUCAACAUCAAUUUCUUUUGCUGUAAAAAAGCUUGAGGAAGGUGGCUUGAGAUUCGUCUUAAGUGUUUAUAGCCUCUUGCCUAUGCAGUCGGAGAGAUUGAGGUCUGCAGCGUAGAUCCUUCGGGGCUAAAUGCAUUUGUGCUAAGUUAUAGCAUUUUAUAGACAACUUGUUGACUAUGAUUUGUCUUGUAGCUUACUCGCUUAUGUUAUUUUACCUACGCUUAGGAUGUUGAAGACUCUACAGAGAU
rnacentral:rRNA from 1 species